rnacentral:misc_RNA from 1 species
AAGGAUCAUUACCUUUCAAUGCAGCAGAAUGGGGAUGGUUGAGUUUCUCGCCUCUCUGUUCUGCCUGUAUUCUACCCUUGUUUGUCAUAUACUAUUAUUUCCUCGGCAGGCUUGCUUGCCGAGUGAAACCAAUUAUAACCUAUUUAAUUUUCAAUCAGCGUCUGAACAAAAUUAAUAAUUACAACUUUCAACAACGGAUCUCUUGGUUCUG